GGGGCUGUGGCUUAGUGGUAGAGCACCAGAAGGUCCCGGGUUCAAUCCCCAGUAUCUCCA
rnacentral:tRNA from 1 species